AGAGUUUGAUCCUGGCUCAGAACGAACGCUGGCGGCGUGGAUUAGGCAUGCAAGUCGAACGAGAAGCUGUUGUUUGAUUCUUCGGAUGAGAAGAACAGUGGAUAGUGGCGAAAGGGUGAGUAUAAAGUGGGCAAUCUGCCUCUGAGUUGGGGAUACCCCCGAGAAAUUGGGGUUAAUACCGAAUAUGGUGAGCUACCGCAUGGUAGCAAAUCCAAAGGCGGGCGUAAGCCUGUCGCUCAGAGAUGAGCCCGCUUCCUAUCAGCUUGUUGGUAAGGUAACGGCUUACCAAGGCUUACGGGUAGCUGGUCUGAGAGGAUGGUCAGCCACACUGGGACUGAGACACUGCCCAGACUCCUACGGGAGGCUGCAGUCGAGAAUCUUGGACAAUGCGCGAAAGCGUGAUCCAGCGACGCCGCGUGGAGGAUGACGGCCUUCGGGUUGUAAACUCCUGUUGUAGGGGAGCAAACGGUAGUGGGUUAAUACCCCAUUACCCUGAUAGUACCUUACGAGGAAGCCACGGCUAACUCUGUGCCAGCAGCCGCGGUAAUACAGAGGUGGCAAGCGUUGUUCGGAUUUACUGGGCGUAAAGGGUGCGUAGGCGGUAGUGUGUGUCGGAUGUGAAAUCUUACUGUUCAUCGGUAAAACUGCAUUCGAAACUACACAACUAGAGUAUAGGAGAGGAGAGCGGAAUUCUCGGUG
rnacentral:rRNA from 1 species